GUGGGGAAUCUUCCGCAAUGGACGAAAGUCUGACGGAGCAACGCCGCGUGAGUGAUGAAGGUCUUCGGAUUGUAAAGCUCUGUUAAUCGGGACGAAAGAGCCUAGUGUGAAUAAUGCUAGGAAGUGACGGUACCGGAAUAGAAAGCCACGGCUAACUACGUGCCAGCAGCCGCGGUAAUACGUAGGUGGCAAGCGUUGUCCGGAAUUAUUGGGCGUAAAGCGCGCGCAGGCGGAUCUGCCAGUCUGUCUUAAAAGUUCGGGGCUUAACCCCGUGAUGGGAUGGAAACUACAGAUCUAGAGUAUCGGAGAGGAAAGUGGAAUUCCUAGUGUAGCGGUGAAAUGCGUAGAUAUUAGGAAGAACACCAGUGGCGAAGGCGACUUUCUGGACGAAAACUGACGCUGAGGCGCGAAAGCCAGGGGAGCGAACGGGAUUAGAUACCCCGGUAGUCC
rnacentral:rRNA from 1 species